rnacentral:rRNA from 1 species
GACACUUAUAGAAGCCGUUGUAGCCCUGCAAAUGGGUAGUCUCCGCGACAAUAAAUAAAGGUUGGCGAUGCAAGUCAGUACGCUCCGGCGCUGGCAACAUGAUCGAAUUGCGGGAACAUCCUAAAGCCUCAAGGUACUAAAUUACACUGGAAACACUGUAAUGGCUCGUGUUAAUACCACGAGGUAAAGUAAUAAUCCUUGGGGAUACAACAAUGGACAAUCCGCAGCGAAGCUUCUAAGGGCCUUGUGGUCUAUGGAGAACGUUCACUGACUAAGUGAUUAUGGGUUAUGCGAAGCGUAACUUAAGAUAUAGUCGAUUCCCCAGCGUAAUCUGGCGGUAUCAAGUCACAGAGGGGAGAAGGCACAUCCCCUAAGAUUGAUUAAAGUUCCGUAGGUGAACCUGCGGAAGGAUCAUUA